GACGAACGCUGGCGGCGUGCCUAAUACAUGCAAGUCGAGCGGACCAAAGGGAGCUUGCUCCUGGAGGUCAGCGGCGAACGGGUGAGUAACACGUGGGCAACCUGCCUGUAAGACUGGGAUAACAUCGAGAAAUCGGUGCUAAUACCGGAUAAUAAAAAGAACUGCAUGGUUCUUUUUUGAAAGAUGGUUUCGGCUAUCACUUACAGAUGGGCCCGCGGCGCAUUAGCUAGUUGGUGAGGUAACGGCUCACCAAGGCAACGAUGCGUAGCCGACCUGAGAGGGUGAUCGGCCACACUGGGACUGAGACACGGCCCAGACUCCUACGGGAGGCAGCAGUAGGGAAUCUUCCGCAAUGGACGAAAGUCUGACGGAGCAACGCCGCGUGAGUGAUGAAGGUUUUCGGAUCGUAAAACUCUGUUGUUAGGGAAGAACAAGUGCCGUUCGAAAGGGCGGCACCUUGACGGUACCUAACGAGAAAGCCACGGCUAACUACGUGCCAGCAGCCG
rnacentral:rRNA from 1 species